GAAUUUUAUUGUAGUUUUUAAAAAUUUAAACACAUUCUACAUUUGUAUUAAUGUAUAUUAAACUCUCUUUAAUGGUACAUGGGCAUUAUUUAAUUGUUUUGUCAAUUAAUUUAGUAAAACUUCAUAAUAUUCUCUAAAUUAGUUGACUAACCACUAUAAAAUCGCUAUUCUCUAGAAAAACGGAGACAACGAAGGUUCCAAACCUCUUUGACCUUCGUUAUAUGUUAGUGAAGGAUGAAAAUAUGCAUUAAAAUAGAAUUUUCAUUUUUUUUUUAUUUUUUCUCAAAAUCUAUGGGUUAAUCCCUAUGAAAAUAUUUAAUUUUUCGGUAAAUACCCUAUAUACUGAAGCCCAUAAUUUUUUGUGUAGUUUUUAAAAAUUUAAACACAUUCUAUAUUUGUAUUAAUGUAUAUUAAACUUUCUUUCAUGGUACAUGGGUAACAUUUAAACUUUUUGUUAAUUAAUUUAGUAAAACUUCAUAAUACUCCCUCAAUUGGUUGACUAACCACUAUGAAAUCGCUAUUCUCUAGAAAAACGUAGACAACAAAGGUUCUAAACCUCUUUGACAUUCAUAAUAUGUUAAUGAUGGAUACAAUUAUGCAUUAAAAUAGAAUUUUCAUUUUUUUUUUCUCAAAAUCUAUGGGUUAACCCCUACGAAAAUAUUUAAUUUUUCGGUAAAUGCUCUAUAUACUGAAGCCUAUGAUUUUUAGUGUAGUUUUAAAAUUUUUAAACACAUUCUACAUUGUAUUAAUGUAUAUUAAACUCUCUUUAAUGGUACAUGGGCAUCGUUUAAGUUUUUGUCAAUUAAUUUAGUAAAACUUCAUAAUACUCCUAAAUUGGUUGACUAACCACUAUAAAAUCCUAUUCCCUAGAAAACGGAGACAACAAAGGUUCCAAAACUCUUUGACCUUCAUCAUAUGUUAGUGAAGGAUGCAACUAUGCAUUAAAAUAAAAUUUUCAUUUUUUUUUUGUUCUUUUUCUCAAAAUCUAUGGGUUAACCCCCUAUGAAAAUAUUUAAUUUUUCGGUAAAUACUUUAUAUACUGAAGCCUAUAAUUUUUUGUGUAGUUUUAAAAAAUUUAAACACAUUCUACAUUUGUAUUAAUGUAUAUUAAACUUUAUUUCAUGGUACAUGGGCAUCGUUUGAUAUUUUUGUUAAUUAAUUUAGUAGAACUUCAUAAUACUCCCUAAAUUGGUUGACUAACCACUAUAAAAUCGCAAUUCCCAAGAAAAACGGAGACAACAAUGGUUUCAAACCUCUUUGACAUUCAUCAUAUGUUAGUGAAGGAUGAAACUAUGCAUUGAAAUAAAAUUUUUUUUUUGAAUUUUUCUCAAAAUCUAUGGGUUAACCCCUACGAAAAUAUUUAAUUUUUCUUUAAAUGCUCUAUAUACUGAAGCCUAUGAUUUUAUUAGUUUAAAAAUUUUUAACACAUUCUACAUUUGUAUUAAUGUAUAUUAAACUCUCUUUAAUGGUACAUGGGCAUCUUUAAAUUUUUUGUCAAUUAAUUUAGUAAAACUUCAUAAUACUCCCUAAAUUAGUUGACUAACCACUAUAAAAUCGCUAUUCCCGAGAAAAACGGAGACAACAAAGGUUCCAAACCUCUUUGACUUCAUCAUAUGUUAGUGAAGGAUGUAACUAUGCAUUAAAAUAUAAUUUUCAUUUUUUAAUUUUUCUCAAAAUCUAUGGGUUAACCCUACGAAAAUAUUUAAUUUUUCGGUAAAUGCUCUAUAUACUGAAGCCUAUGAUUUUAUUGUAGUUUUUAAAAUUUUAAACACAUUCUACAUUGAAUUAAUGUAUAUUAAACUCUCUUUAAUGGUACAUGGGCAUCGUUUAAAUUUUUUGUCAAUUAAUUUAGUAAAACUUCAUAAUAUCCUUAAAUUGGUUGACUAACCACUAUAAAAUCGCUAUUCUCUAGAAAAACGGAGACAACAAAGGUUCCAAACCUCUUUGACCUUCAUCAUAUGUUAGUGAAGGAUGCAACUAUGCAUUAAAAUAGAAUUUUAAUUUUUUUUUCUCAAAAUCUAUAGGUUAACCCCUACGCAAAUAUUUAAUUUUUUGGUAAAUGCUCUAUAAACUGAAACCUAUGAUUUUUAUUGUAGUUUUUAAAAAUAUAAACACAUUCUACAUUUGUAUUAAUGUAUAUUAAACUCUCUUUAAUGGUACAUGGGCAUUAUUUAAUUGUUUUGUCAAUUAAUUUAGUAAAACUUCAUAAUAUUCUCUAAAUUAGUUGACUAACCAGUAUAAAAUCACUAUUCUCUACAAAAACGAAAACAACGAAGGUUUCAAACCUUUUUGACCUUCAUCAUAUGUUAGUGAAAGAUGCAACUAUGCAUUAAAAUAGAAUUUUCAUUUUUUUUUUCUCAAAAUCUAUAGGUUAACCCCUACGAAAAUAUUUAAUUUUUUGGUAAAUGCUCUAUAUACUGAAACCUAUGAUUUUUAUUGUAGUUUAAAAAAUUUAAACACAUUCUACAUUUGUAUUAAUGUAUAUUAAACUCUCUUUAAUGGUACAUGGGCAUUAUUUAAUUGUUUUGUCAAUUAAUUUAGUAAAACUUCAUAAUAUUCCCUAAAUUAGUUGACUAACCACUAAAAAAUCGCUAUUCUCUAGAAAAACGGAGACAACGAAGGUUUCAAACCUCUUUGACCUUCAUCAUAUGUUAGUGAAGGAUGCAACUAUGCAUUAAAAUAGAAUUUUAAUUUUUUUUUAUUUUUUCUCAAAAUCUAUAGGUUAACCCCUACGAAAAUAUUUAAUUUUUCGGUAAAUGCUCUAUAUACUGAACCUAUGAUUUUUAGUGUAGUUUUUAAAAAUUUAAACACAUUCUACAUUUGUAUUAAUGUAUAUUAAUCUCUUUAAUGGUACAUGGGCAUUGUUUAAUGUUUUGUCAAUUAAUUUAGUAAAACUUCAUAUUCCUUAAAUAGUUGACUAACCACUAUAAAUCGCUAUUCUCUAGAAAAACGGAGACAACAAAGGUUCCAAACCUCUUUGACCUUCAUCAUAUGUUAGUGAAGGAUGCAACUAUGCAUUAAAAUAGAAUUUUCAUUUUUUUUUAUUUUUUCUCAAAAUCUAUGGGUUAACCCCUAUGAAAAUAUUAAAUUUUUCAGUAAAUACUCUAUAUACUGAAGCCUAUAAUUUUUUGUGUAGUUUUCAAAAAAUUAAACACAUUCUAUCUUUGUAUUAAUGUAUAUUAAACUCUCUUUAUUGGUACAUGGGCAUUAUUUAAUUGUUUUGUCAAUUAAUUUAGUAAAACUUCAUAAUAUUCCCUGAAUUAGUUGACUAACCACUAUAAAAUCGCUAUUCUUUAGAAAAACGGAGACAACGAUGGUUCCAAACCUCUUUGACCUUCAUCAUAUGUUAGUGAAUGAUGCAAUUAUGCAUUAAAGUAGAAUGUUCAUUUUUUUUUUUCUCAAAAUCUAUGGGUUAACCCCUACGAAAAUAUUUAAUUUUUCGGUAAAUGCUCUAUAUACUGAAACCUAUGAUUUUUAGUGUAGUUUUAAAAUUUUUAAACACAUUCUACAUUUGUAUUAAUGUAUAUUAAACACUCUUUAAUGGUACAUGGGCAUCGCUUAAGUCUUUUGUCAAUUAAUUUCGUAAAACUUGAUAAUACUCCCUAAAUUGGUUGACUAACAACUAUAAAACCACUAUUCCCUAGAAAAACGGAGACAACAAAGGUUCCAAAACUGUUUGACCUUCGUCACAUGUUAGUGAAGGAUGCAACUAUGCAUUAAAAUAAAAAUUUUAUUUUUUUUUGUUUUUUUUUCAAAAUCUAUGGGUUAACCAACCCCCUAUGAAAAUAUUUAAUUUUUCGGUAAAUACUCUAUAUACUGAAGCCUUUAAUUUUUUGUGUAGUUUUAAAAAUUUAAACACAUUCUACAUUUGUAUUAAUGUAUAUUUAACUUUCUUUCAUGGUACAUGGGCAUCGUUUGAUAUUUUUUUUAGUUAAUUUAGUAGAACUUCAUAAUACUCCCUAAAUUGGUUGACUAACCACUAUAAAAUCGCUAUUCCCAAGAAAAACGGAGACAACAAUGGUUUCAAACCUCUUUGACCUUCAUCAUAUGUUAGUGAAGGAUGAAACUAUGCAUUGAAAUAGAAUUUUUUUUUUGAAUUUUUCUCAAAAUCUAUGGGUUAACCCCUACGAAAAUAUUUAAUUUUUCUGUAAAUUCUCUUUAUACUGAAGCCUAUAAUUUUUAUUGUAGUUUUAAAAUGUUUAAACACAUUCUACAUUUGAAUUAAUGUAUAUUAAACUCUCUUUAAUGGUACAUGGGCAUCGCUUAAAUCUUUUGUCAAUUAAGUUCGUAAAACUUCAUAAUACUCCCUAAAUUGGUUGACUAACAACUAUAAAACCACUAUUCCCUAGAAAAAAACGGAGACAACAAAGGUUCCAAAACUGUUUGACCUUCAUCAUAUGUUAGUGAAGGAUGCAACUAUGCAUUAAAAUAAAAUUUUCAUUUUUUGAAUUUUUCUCAAAAUCUAUGGGUUAACCCAUACGAAAAUAUUUAAUUUUUCGGUAAAUGCUCUAUAUAUUGAAGCCUAUGAUUUUUAGUGUAGUUUUAAAAAAUUUAAACACAUUCUACAAUUGUAUUAAUAUAUAUUAAACUCUCUUUAAUGGUACAUGGGCAUCGUUUGAUAUUUUUUUUAAUUAAUUUAGUAGAACUUCAUAAUACUCCCAAAAUUGGUUGACUAGCCACUAUAAAAUCGCUAUUCCCAAGAAAAACGGAGACAACAAAGGUUUCAAACCUCUUUGACCUUCAUCAUAUGUUAGUGAAGGAUGAAACUAUGCAUUAAAAUAGAUUUUGUUUUUUAAUUUUUCUCAAAAACUAUGCGGUAACCCUACGAAAAUAUUUAAUUUUUGGUAAAUGCUCUAUAUAGUGAAGUCUAUGAUUUUUAUUGUAGUUUUAAAAUUUUUAAACACAUUCUACAUUUGUAUUAAUGUAUAUUAAACUCUCUUUAAUGGUACAUGGACAUCGUUAAAAUGUUUUGUCAAUUAAUUUAGUAAAACUUCAUAAUACUCUCUAAAUUGGUUGACUAACCACUAUGAAAUCGCUAUUCUCUAGAAAAACGGAGACAACAAAUGUUCCAAACCUCUUUGACCUUCAUCAUAUGUUAGUGAAGGAUGCAACUAUGCAUUAAAAUAGAAUUUCCAUUUUUUUGAAUUUUUCGUAAACUCUAUGGGUUAACCCCUACGAAAAUAUUUAAUUUUUCGGUAAAUACUCUAUAUACUGAAGCCUAUGAUUUUUAUUGUAGUUUUAAAAAAUUUAAACACAUUCUAUAUUUGUAUUAAUGUAUAUUAAACUCUAUUUAAUGGUACAUGGGCAUUAUUUAAUUGUUUUGUCAAUUAAUUUAGUAAAACUUCAUAAUAUUCCCUAAAUUAGUUGACUAACCACUAUAAAAUCACUAUUCUCUAGAAAAACGGAGACAACGAAAGUUCCAAACCUCUUUGACCUUCAUCAUAUGUUAGUAAAGGAUGCAACUAUGCAUUAAAAUAGAAUUUUAAUUUUUAUUUUAUUUUUUUUCUUAAAAUCUAUAGGUUAACCCCUACGAAAAUAUUUAAUUUUUCGGUAAAUGCUCUAUAUACUGAAACCUAUGAUUUUUAUUGUAGUUUUUAAAAAUUUAAACACAUUAUACAUUUGUAUUAAUGUAUAUUAAACUCUCUUUAAUGGUACAUGGG
rnacentral:lncRNA from 1 species